GGUGAAUGCAAUUGUUCGAUCUUAUUGUGAUUCAUAACAUAUAAGCAAGCUGAAGGACAUCUUAAGAGGAAGUAUCAAUCGUUAAUAUAUUCAAAAAGAAGAACAUGAACAUGUCUUCUUUUAUGUUACAGAAAUUACUUACAUUCUCCACUCAAACACAAUUCAAAUUGUACAUGAUUUCCAAAGACUGCUAUUAAGGACAAAGCAUUAUGAUCAUCUUCUUCUAGUUUUCAUUUUUCUUUGAUUUAAGCAGAGUAGCCAUCCUAUCUGACAAUAAAGUGUUAAUGUAUUGAUGGUUAUUUUUUGAGAGAAGUUUAUAUGCUUGCUUACUUUAUGCAGGUUCCUAGAAGUACAUCCAUGCAGGUGUUUUUGUUCCUCAUUCAGUGGUUGAAGAAAAAUGAAUGAAAGGUUACCAUUGUCAUCAUCACUGAAAGACCUCAGAUCCGCAAUGAUGUCUUCGGGAGGGGCAGUGAAGCCGGUGAAUGAAAAGGAGAAGCCCAGACUGGCACUGGAAG